AUUUCCGUGCGAAUCUCUAUCUCUACUACCUAAAAGAACUGCAAGGUUCCGUUUCCCGUCUUACAUCGCACGGAUCGUCAACCCCUCCACCCACCCGUUCGCGUUCUUACCCACGUUGGUUUUCCGCUAAAAAAAGAUUGGACGUGAGUCAACGGGAUCUCGCUCUAUCUCUCUCGCUCCCAAACAAACCCCCGCCAAUCGUUUCCCCUGGCCCUACCCCUCCCGAUCUGGUCGCCACCACAAUCUCGCCACCGAAUCUGGCAUCACCAUCGAUGGCGAGAUUGUGGCGUUCAGAUCCUGUGAGCUCUUCCAAUCCUGUGAGCUGCUAUGAAUCCGCCCCCUGCUCUUCCAAUCCUGUGAGCUGCUGGCGAGAUCGGCAUCCAAAUCCGUCACCAUCGAUGGCGCUUUGUUCCCAUCCGAAACUUGCCACUUGCGAGGGACCAAGCCCGCCGAAGCGGGCGACCAAAGGAUUCGAAGCAGCUUCGCCCUUCGCCAUCGACCAUCGAGGAGGGCGUGGGCCUGAUCUCCUGGCCUUCCAGGGGUCACCGCCGUUGCGCUCGUAUCGUCAGGCCGCCGUAGCACCGAUUCGGUCACCGGCCAUGGCCCAAUCCUCUCCCUCUCAGUUCGUGCUCCCCCUACUUUUAUCUUCCAAUGUUUUGUUCUGCAGGUUUUUGAGGCCGGGUGCGGGCAUGCGACAACUCUCGACUCAGAGAGAUACUUUGGCUGUCCUGGGAUCAUGUCAUCCAACCAUCCAUGGAGUUUUCGAGCAAAGUCUCGGCCUCCGGCCGGAGCAUGACCUCCGCAAAGAUCGUGACGGACCGAAGCUCCAAGCAACUCCAGCGGCAUCUUCACGACGCUCGAGGACGGCGAUGAGCACCUCUCCGUGUCCUUCGUGACUACCUCACGCCCUCUACGCCGUCCCGCUCUCACCGGACACCAGAACCAGCCCCAUCGCCAGAUCUUCCCCAUGUCCGACCACGCUGCCCGUCUCCGGCGACCUAGUCGUCCAACUCCGAUGUAUCGUAAAGUGAAGGAGUGACGAUAACAAAUAGGGAAUCAACUUCAAGACUCAGGCAAGUUGCAUCUUGAUCAUAAUUUGUCCUACGCUUUUGAAAUAUGCAUGAUCUGUUUAAAAUUUAGUAUGCAUGUUUUAUUAAAAGGUUGCAAAGAAUUAUUGCUAGCUAGAGCCCUAGGAACUUGUAGCUAUGCUUAGACUUGCUUACAAACAAAAGGGUUGGGAAUCAAACAAGUUUUAAACAAAUAAACUUGCCUUCUUUUGCAGCAACAUUUUGUGAAAACUUUUGAGAAACAAAACUAUAUAGUAUUUUACUUCUACUCCCUGGGCAGAAUGGUAUUGACAGGAGCGUCUACAAGUGAUUGCGCCCAUUGGGGUCUUGCAGUGAAUGCGCCCGACUGGGGUCUUGCACACAGGCUUUUGGUGGGGACCGCCGUCCAGGGGACUGAGAUCUCCCAAGUAGAGUUUGAUGUAGCUUCUUGUACAGCCACAUGCUACUAAGGGCUUUGGCUUAGCUUAGUACUAACGGGAAACCCUACCCCAGGACCGCCAUCGGAGAGAGGCCUUCGUGCCGAAGUUGCGGGCGGCUUGGUUGGUAUAGGGGGCUGUUACAGACAGGCUUCAUCACAAUCUCCUCCUAGUCGUCCAGUCCACCCAAGUGUGUAACGAUAAACGGGGUUGAUUGUGUCGUGUGGGGAACGUGUACGACCUCUGUAGAGGGUUAAACCUAAUCGAUUAGUCGUGCCCCGAUUAAGGGCAAUUUUGAGCAACUUAAGACUUGGACUAACAAAGAAUGUGUUUCACUUCAACCCUAUGUGUGUUUUAAACUAAUUUUGGAGAAUGAGCUUUGGUGCAUAUAUCCAAAUGUCUCACUUCUAUCUAUAUACAAAAAAUAUUAUUUUGUUUUCAAAGAAAGUUUCAAAAUUUAGUAUCAGAGAAAAUUGGCUUUAUGCAAAGGAAA